AUUGAACGCUGGCGGCAGGCUUAACACAUGCAAGUCGAGCGGAGAUGAGGUGCUUGCACCUUAUCUUAGCGGCGGACGGGUGAGUAAUGCUUAGGAAUCUGCCUAUUAGUGGGGGACAACAUUCCGAAAGGAAUGCUAAUACCGCAUACGCCCUACGGGGGAAAGCAGGGGAUCUUCGGACCUUGCGCUAAUAGAUGAGCCUAAGUCGGAUUAGCUAGUUGGUGGGGUAAAGGCCUACCAAGGCGACGAUCUGUAGCGGGUCUGAGAGGAUGAUCCGCCACACUGGGACUGAGACACGGCCCAGACUCCUACGGGAGGCAGCAGUGGGGAAUAUUGGACAAUGGGCGGAAGCCUGAUCCAGCCAUGCCGCGUGUGUGAAGAAGGCCUUUUGGUUGUAAAGCACUUUAAGCGAGGAGGAGGCUACCUGGAUUAAUACUCUAGGAUAGUGGACGUUACUCGCAGGAUAAGCACCGGCUAACUCUGUGCUAGCCGCCGCAGUAAUAC
rnacentral:rRNA from 1 species